rnacentral:rRNA from 1 species
UACAGAGGUCCCAAGCGUUGUUCGGAUUCACUGGGCGUAAAGGGUGCGUAGGUGGCAAGAUAAGUCUGAUGUGAAAUCUCCAAGCUUAACUUGGAAAUGGCAUUGGAAACUGUGUUGCUAGAGUAUUGGAGGGGGGACUGGAAUACUUGGUGUAGCAGUGAAAUGCGUAGAUAUCAAGUGGAACAUCAGUGGCGAAGGCGAGUCCCUAGACAAUUACUGACACUGAGGCACGAAAGCUAGGGGAGCAAACGGG